rnacentral:lncRNA from 1 species
CAAAUCCAAUGGUAUGCUUCUCUCUAACUCCUUCAUUCAAUCUUCUUUUUAUUUAUUUAUUUAUAUAUUUUAACUGUUGUUACAAUGAAGAUAAAUGAAUUGUUUACUUAAUAAUAAUUGUGUUGGUGAUGAAGCAAAAUUGCAAUGAAUCUUUACAGCUGUUGUAUGAUUUCAAGGCUAUAAGAAUUGGUACAGGAGGUAACACAACAAAAUUGGAAGAUCUGUAUAAACAGUUUACAGAUUUUAAAUUGAGAUUUAACUCCUUCACACUAAAAGGAAUCUCAAUUCACUAAUGAUGAGAUUGGACAAAAAUUUGACAUUGAAGAAUACCAAAAAAUUUAUCGCGGAAUUGAUAGAC